UUUUCAUUCUUCAAAGCAUUGGUUUCUGCGUCUCUCCUUCUCUCUCUCUGUUUCUCUAUCUAUCAUUUUAUCUAUAUCUUUCUCCACUUUUGUCUUCCAGAGAUCUUUCUAGGGUUUCUUCUUCGACGUCUGACAAUAGGAUGCGGGCAAGUUCAUAUUAUCUCUGUCGCAGAUCCCUUUGAAUCUGGUGUUUGAAGGCUGUCGUCUUCUGCUACGGCUGCAAUUUUAGAAGAUCUUUGUUUUGCGUGAUUUUGGUGAAUUUUCAGGUUUUUCUCUCUCUCUUAAGUUACAGGGUUUGCUUGGUUAUUUUGAAUUGUGUACGUUGGAUCCGUUUAAUAUUUGAUUGAUUAAUUCAUUGUUGGAAUUCGUGAUCUCUGAAUUUUGGGUAUUAGAGGGGGAAUUGGUGUGAUGAGCAUAUAAAUGUUUCUUCGUGAAGUUAAGAACUUUUUCUUUGGAGAUUACUUGAUCUGGUGGAAUGGAAGGAUAUGGUGUUUAUGGCAUUUGUACCUGUAACCACCUCCCUUCUGGGUUGAACGAUUCAAUGUUGGGAUCUCCAGGAUUGGAUGCUUAUUUGUUUAUGUUUUAUGAACGAGAUUUUCCACGGCUAUUCGAUAUCAUAAGUUAAUUGAAUUUCAAGGAAUUAAGGUUGAAGUGCUUAGGCUUGUUUUGGAAGCAAUUCUUCUCUCCAGUCUUAACGGCGGUGAAGUUCGGUGAUUGAGGCCUUUGUGGUUGGGGGAAUAUAAAAUAUAACAGUUGUUUAAGAUUACAAGGUUCAACAAAGGUCGUCGGGUUUGGAGUUUGCUUGAAGGAAGUGAAUGUUUUGGGAAGAAACAUGGCUGCAGGGCCUGAUCUUUCGCCCCCAUUUACCGUAUUAGAAGGAGGGUACAGUAAUGACAAUGCUUCUUCCAUGGAAGAUGAGAAUUCCGAGAUUUCAGACAGCUUGAAACAAAUGAAGACUGGGAAACCCCCACGCCAUCUCUCAGUUAUGCGGCAUUGUAUUAGCUCUGCUCGGUUGGCCACAUCUGAAUUGGAGCUCAAUACAGGUGUUGUUGGACUAAAGUCACCAACAGAAGGAAAAUCUGGGUUUUUACCCGUAUUUCGUUCGGGAAGCUGUUCUGAGAUUGGACCAAAACAGUACAUGGAGGAUGAACAUAUCUGUAUAGAUAAUCUUGUUGAAUAUCUUGGUGCGAACAUAAACCUCCCUUCUCCAGGAGGUUUCUACGGGGUGUUCGAUGGGCAUGGUGGUUCAGAUGCAGCAUCAUUCAUCCAAAAAAACAUUCUUAAAUUUAUAAUUGAAGACUCCCACUUCCCCUCUUGCAUAGAGAUGGCCAUUAAGAGUGCUUUUUUGAAAGCUGAUCAUGCUUUUGCUGAUGCCUCUACUCUUGACAGCUCCUCUGGAACCACAGCUCUAACUGCUCUUAUUUUUGGAAGGAACUUGCUAAUUGCCAAUGCUGGGGAUUGCCGAGCUGUGUUGGGUAAACGUGGAAGAGCAAUUGAGCUCUCCAAAGAUCACAAACCAAAUUGUACAUCUGAAAGACUAAGAAUUGAGAAACUGGGUGGUGUUGUGUAUGAUGGGUAUCUUAAUGGCCAAUUGUCAGUGGCACGAGCCCUCGGCGACUGGCACAUGAAGGGCUCCAAGGGGUCAGCAUGCCCCUUAAGUGCAGAGCCAGAGUUGCAGGAGACCAUCCUGAGUGAGGAAGACGAGUUCCUCAUAAUGGGCUGUGAUGGGCUUUGGGAUGUGAUGAGCAGCCAGUGUGCAGUAACGAUAGCAAGAAAGGAGUUGAUGCUCCAUAAUGAUCCUGUGAGAUGCUCAAGGGAGCUGGUGAGGGAGGCACUAAAGCGCCAGACGUGUGAUAAUCUGACGGUGCUUGUGAUCUGUUUCUCUCCAGAGCCACCACCUCGGAUAGAGAUCCCUAAAUCGCGGGUGCGGCGGAGUAUAUCGGCUGAAGGGCUGAAUUUUCUGAAGGGUGUUUUGGAUAGUAACGAGUGACGAAAGAGAGCAAUGCUUGGCGGCCUGUAUAAAAUUUUAAAGAAGGGGAAUGGAAGAGGAUUUGCAGUUCCGCCACUGGUGGUGGAGUUGGGUCGACAAAUAUGGAAAAUUUUCAAGGCUGCUAUGCUCCUUGGCCCGGGCUGUAAGUUUGUUUAUGUUUCUAUCCUCUGCGCCUCAAUGCAAGCUAGAAGAGCUGGUGUCUGAUAUGUCAUUGGAUUCUAUACGCUGUUGACAGAUUGGUAGUGUUGUACCAUGUUCUUACAAAAUUAAUAUUCCAUCUUUGAAAGUCUUCAAAUAAUAAUACUAUUCUCAAAUCUGUAUCUUACCCUUCCCUUUUUUUUCUUGUUUAUUUUUUCCUGGUGGUAAAGGCACGCUGUUUGCCUCAUCCUUGUAAGUUAAAUCAGAAAUGCUUCUUUAAUUUUUUAUGGAUGGAGCAGUUUUCCA